CGGGGAAUAACAUCGGAAACAAUGGCUAAUGCCCCAUAUGCUCGUAAGAGUGAAAGGAGUAAUCCACCCAAAGAGAAGCUCGCGGCUGAUUAGCUAGUUGGUAAGGUAAUGGCUUACCAAGGCGACGAUCAGUAGCUGGUUUGAGAGAACGAUCAGCCACACUGGAACUGAGACACGGUCCAGACUCCUACGGGAGGCAGCAGUGGGGAAUUUUCCGCAAUGGGCGAAAGCCUGACGGAGCAAUACCGCGUGAGGGAUGAAGGCCUUUGGGUUGUAAACCUCUUUUAUCAAGGAGGAAGUUCUGACGUGUACUUGAUGAAUAAGCAUCGGCUAACUCCGUGCCAGCAGCCGCGGUAAGACGGAGGAUGCAAGUGUUAUCCGGAAUCACUGGGCGUAAAGCGUCUGUAGGUGGUUUAAAAAGUCCACUGUUAAAGAUUGAAGCUUAACUUCAAAAAUGCCGUGGAAACUUUUAAACUUGAGUAUGAUAGGGGUAGAGGGAAUUUCCAGUGGAGCGGUGAAAUGCGUAGAUAUUGGAAAGA
rnacentral:rRNA from 1 species